UUGUAGUCGGGGCUGCAAGCAAGACAACGUGGGAUAGGGCUGGUUCACAGCCUCCUAUUUAUUUAAAGUCCCAAUAGUUUCAAUAAUUUUUCUUAAAUUUUUUAUAAUUGAUCUAAAAGAUUAUCAGAUUUUAUGCGGAUCAUUUUAGUCAGUAUAGAUAGAACUAGAUAGAAUCCAAAAGUGGAUUGGCCAAAUCGAGAAAUCGAAUCACACGUUGAGUCUCUAGAAACC
rnacentral:lncRNA from 1 species